GUGAGGAAUAUUGCGCAAUGGGCGAAAGCCUGACGCAGCAACGCCGCGUGGAGGACGAAGGCCCUCGGGUCGUAAACUCCUGUCGGGAGGGACGAAAAGGCUUCGGAUAAUACCCGGAGUCUCUGACGGUACCUUCAGAGGAAGCCCCGGCUAACUCCGUGCCAGCAGCCGCGGUAAUACGGGGGGGGCAAGCGUUAUUCGGAAUUAUUGGGCGUAAAGCGCGCGCAGGCGGCUUGGCAAGUCAUAGGUGAAAUCCCUCGGCUCAACCGAGGAACUGCCUAUGAAACUGCCUGGCUCGAGGUCGGGAGGGGGUGGCGGAAUUCCCAGUGUAGCGGUGAAAUGCGUAGAUACUGGGAAGAACACCGGUGGCGAAGGCGGCCACCUGGACCGAUUCUGACGCUGAGGUGCGAAAGCGUGGGGAGCAAACAGG
rnacentral:rRNA from 1 species